CCCUAUCGAGCUUUACUGGAUACCGAUAGCGUUAAUUUAGAAUGAUCGAUACUAAGUAUCCUAAUUCUAAGUUAAUAAUUUUUGUUGGUAGGACAGUUUAGUUGGGGCGACUACCUUUGAAUAAGAAACGAAGGCGAGCUUAUGGUAUUAUUAAAAUCUCAUUAGCCUCACAGUGAGGGGGACACCCCUAGCUGGCACAUAGGAUGUGGGCGAUAGUGACCCGAUAUGAUUAUCCAAAAUAAAUAUCGAAAGCGGAUAAAAGCUACCGUAGGG
rnacentral:rRNA from 1 species